AGGGAAUAUUGCGCAAUGGGCGAAAGCCUGACGCAGCAACGCCGCGUGGGGGAUGACGGCCUUCGGGUUGUAAACCUCUUUCAGCGCCGAAGAAGCGAAAGUGACGGUAGGCGUAGAAGAAGGACCGGCUAACUACGUGCCAGCAGCCGCGGUAAUACGUAGGGUCCAAGCGUUGUCCGGAAUUAUUGGGCGUAAAGAGCUCGUAGGCGGUGUGUCGCGUCGGAUGUGAAAUCCCGGAGCUUAACUCCGGGCCUGCAUUCGGUACGGGCAUACUAGAGUUCGGUAGGGGAGACUGGAAUUCUUGGUGUAGCGGUGAAAUGCGCAGAUAUCAGGAGGAACACCGGUGGCGAAGGCGGGUCUCUGGGCCGAAACUGACGCUGAGGAGCGAAAGCGUGGGGAGCGAAC
rnacentral:rRNA from 1 species